CUCCUUAGUUUGUAAGGUGUAGGCAGGGAUUACAUUUAGAUUUUAUAUACAUGUGUAAAUGGUUUAAAACUUCCUUUCUUUAUAAACCUUGUUUAAUCAUAAAGUGCAUUACUAUAUUUUUCAAUACCAAUUACUUGUUAAAGUUUGUACAAUCAAUGGGAUCAGUUGCAAUGCAUAUAUGUGAAUGAUAAAAGUAAAUUGCACAUUUAUUGAAGGAAAUGUAAGGUGCUUCAUGAAAUGUUUUUUAAAAGAUACAAAGACAUUUUGUUUUGGUUGUUUAUAGCAAAGUAUGGUAUCAUUUUAAUGGUCCGGCCCACUUGACAUCUACUGAGGCCUUAUGUGGCCCACCAUGUGAAAUGAGUUUGACACCAGUGAUGUAUAGUAAGGCGUUUUUAGCCUAAAAAAAACAACCAUGUAAAGAAAGGUGUUUUUAGCCGA